rfam:Drosophila simulans chrT_M_4328 genomic scaffold, whole genome shotgun sequence.
CAAUCGGUCCUUUUCAGGACCACUAUUUUUAGUUAAAAGGAGGAAG